rnacentral:rRNA from 1 species
UACGUAGGGUCCAAGCGUUGUCCGGAGUUACUGGGCGUAAAGCGCGCGCAGGUGGUCCACUAAGCCCGGCGUGAAAGCCCCCGGCUCAACCGGGGAGGGUCGUCGGGGACUGGUGGACUUGAGGGUGGCAGGGGCUGGUGGAAUUCCCGGUGUAGUGGUGAAAUGCGUAGAGAUCGGGAGGAACACCCGUGGCGAAGGCGGCCAGCU